AGCGAACGCUGGCGGCAGGCCUAACACAUGCAAGUCGAACGAACCUUUCGGGGUUAGUGGCGGACGGGUGAGUAACACGUGGGAACGUGCCUUUAGGUUCGGAAUAACUCAGGGAAACUUGUGCUAAUACCGAAUGUGCCCUUCGGGGGAAAGAUUAAUCGCCUUUAGAGCGGCCCGCGUCUGAUUAGCUAGUUGGUUGAGGUAAUGGCUCACCAAGGCGACGAUCAGUAGCUGGUCUGAGAGGAUGAUCAGCCACAUUGGGACUGAGACACGGCCCAAACUCCUACGGGAGGCAGCUGUGGGGAAUCUUGCGCAAUGGGCGAAAGCCUGACGAAGCCAUGCCGCGUGAAUGAUGAAGGUCUUAGGAUUGUAAAAUUCUUUCACCGGGGACGAUAAUGACGGUACCCGGAGAAGAAGCCCCGGCUAACUUCGUG
rnacentral:rRNA from 1 species